rnacentral:rRNA from 1 species
CACGUAGGGUGCAAGCGUUGUCCGGAAUCAUUGGGCGUAAAGAGCUCGUAGGCGGCUUAGUAAGUCGGGUGUGAAAACCCCAGGCUCAACCUGGGGACGCCACCCGAUACUGCUAUAGCUAGAGUCCAGUAGGGGAGUGUGGAAUUCCCAGUGUAGCGGUGAAAUGCGCAGAUAUUGGGAGGAACGCCAGCGGCGAAGGCGGCACUCUGGGCUGGUACUGACGCUGAGGAGCGAAAGCGUGGGUAGCGAACAGG